UCUGUUUGCAGGAUUAGAAAACAAAACCAGGAGGCCUGUAAAUGUUUCUUCUCCAAUUGGAUGAUGAUAAGACUGUGACACGGGAUGCCACCUUUAGUCUUGUGAUGAAGCAAAGCUCAGGAAGAAGUGUGAUUAAAUGGUACCCACAUGUGUGCUGCUGAGAAGGAUGUACAAGGGCACCUGCAGCCAAAUCCAAGCCUCCUCAGCAACUUCAAGUCUGUCAGUGUGCUGAGGUCACAGAAACAAGAAAAGAAGCUUGACUUCAGAGUGUUGUUUACAGUUUUCUGUCAUCAUGAUCUCCCCUGAAGUUUAUCACUGUGAGCCAAGCAAGCAGAGCAGCAGUUUGUGCUCACAGAUGGAGACGGUGCGGAGAGACGGUGGUGUUUCCUCAGAAGAACUAGCAGAGUCACCAAGGGCACCAGUCCAUCUCACCACCUUGACUUGCUGACUGAUGCUCGUCUGCACUGCACAGAGGAAAUCAACUGACCGAGGAGUGUUUCUGGGUGAGGGAGAGAGGAGUCAUCAUCCAGGUAAAGUGACGUGGAUCAGUGGACACACUUGUCUCCCCUUUAAAGGAGAUACUCUUAGAGAGAGACGAUCC